rnacentral:rRNA from 1 species
UGCGCAGGCGGUUUUGUAAGACAGAGGUGAAAUCCCCGGGCUCAACCUGGGAACUGCCUUUGUGACUGCAAAGCUGGAGUGCGGCAGAGGGGGAUGGAAUUCCGCGUGUAGCAGUGAAAUGCGUAGAUAUGCGGAGGAACACCGAUGGCGAAGGCAAUCCCCUGGGCCUGCACUGACGCUCAUGCACGAAAGGCUGGGAGCAAACA